CUGGGGGUUGGGUGUUUACUUC
rnacentral:miRNA from 12 species